GAAAAGCCACCGACCGUCCCUGCUCCAUGGGGAAGGCAGCCUCCAACUAUGGCUGAUGGGCUGGCAGUCAGGAAGAGCUACAGCAGGGAGAAAAGGAUCUUUGCUGAUGUUGAACAUCAACAGGGAAUCCAGGCCUGAGCGGAUUCGCACGUGACGUCUCCCUGGAUACGGGGAUGGUUUCACAAAGGGAUUGGAGUCACUGAGAUGUAAGGAGAAGUCUGCUGGCAGCUUCUGGGACAUUACACCCUGGUACUGAAGAGAUUGCUGCUGGAAAAGGCUGUCUUCCUGGGGAUGUUGUCAGGUGAGGCCUAGAAUUGUGGCAGCCACCUUGCCGCCACCUUGGCAGCCACCUUGCAGCACGGGGAAAAGAUGAGCCUGGGGAG
rnacentral:lncRNA from 1 species